UACAGAGGGUGCAAGCGUUAAUCGGAAUUACUGGGCGUAAAGCGUGCGUAGACGGUUACAUAAGUCGGGUGUGAAAGCCCCGGGCUCAACCUGGGAAUUGCAUUCGAGACUGCGUAGCUAGGGUGCGGAAGAGGGAAGCGGAAUUUCCGGUGUAGCGGUGAAAUGCGCAGAUAUCGGGAAGAACACCCGUGGCGAAGGCGGCUCUCUGGGACGGUACUGACGCUGAGACGCGAAAGCGUGGGGAGCGAACAGG
rnacentral:rRNA from 1 species